CCCAGUUCCACAAAUCAUCAAUCGAUCAAUCAAUCAGCCCCUCCACGUUCUCAUUCAGGUAAGUGACUGUAGGUGACUAUAGGUGGCCAAGUAGGGGCAAGGUGGUGGCAGAAGGUUUGAACCCUGUAUCAGGCAUAUGUGCAGUUUGGUGUCAUAGAAAGAGCCCUGGACCAGUGCCAGGAGACCCGAGUCCAGGCCCGAAGCCCUCCGGUCCCUUGUCCUGGCAAACGUGCCCCAGCCUGACCUUUGCCCACUGGGGCCUCUUGGUUCUCAGUGUCCCAUCUCUGGUUCCAGGACCUUGUUCUCUGAGUACCUGCCACCCAUCCCUGAUGGCCCGAAGCAGACACUUGGCCCUCCUAGGACUGUGAGAACAGCACAUUCCCAGCACGGUGGCCGACCUAUCACUGUUGUGAUCUUGGCCACGCUUCCAGCCCUGAGCCUGAACUUCGUGUCUUCAUCAGCUGAAGCCCAUUCUAGGAGGUCCACCCCACUGUGCUUAACCAAGACUGGCUUCAGCCUUCUCUCCUUGCCAUCUCCCUGAGCGGCCUGAAGCACCAGGACUCUGUGGAGAUGUGUGUCUCACCAGCUGAGCUCUCAGGUCCCUGCCAGCUCUAAUACUGUUAGCAGAGGAGAGCAACUUCCAGGCUGAGAAGGAUUCGGAGGAGGACGUCAGGCAAGGACAUCCCGUGGCCGGAGUUUCCUAAGCAGUGGUGGCUAGGCGGAUUUGUGGAGCAGGGAGGAGCAGUGGGCAGUGUCCAGGAAGGAAGAGCUUAGCAGGCCUGGCAACCAAGUGGAUAUGAGGAGCAAAGGCCUGGGAAUGGGAUGGUUCCAAGAGAAAAGGAGGCUGAGAGAGGAGGCUGGCUUAGGGGGAAGGGAAUUAAUUCUGUUUUGGACAUAAUGUGCUGUUUAGCAAUCCCAUUCCACAGCAUAAACCCCCAGGAGAUGCUUGGACCUGUGUAACAGGACACAAGUGGAAAAAUGUUAACAGAGAGAUUGUUCACGAUGGCAAGACUGGGAAAUGCCCAUGACCAGAAAAAAUAAAUCAAUAGAUCAACAAAUUAUAGAUCAAUAAACUCUGAGCAGCCAUGGCACACACAUGUAUGGGGGAAAGCAUGGCUCCAGGUGUGGUGGGCAGAGUGUGCCAGUUAUUCCUCCAAUUCCAUUUUCUCUUCCUCACACAAGAACCCAGAUAUACAGCUAAGCAAUUGGCAUCAGUUGAAUGAUUACAUAUCCCACAGUCCUGUGAUUAAGAUUUGGCCAGUGACAGAUAAGCUGAAAUGUACGUCACUUCAGAUACAUCUCCUUAAAGGUGGGAGCCUACCCUUCUUGACUCUUUUCUUCAUCCUGCUGCCUGAAGUGUGAACAUAAUGCCUGGCACGUAAGCAGCCUUCUGGAUUGUGAGGACAACAGCCAUUCUCUGUGAAAUGGUAGAGCAGCAGACUGAAAAGACUGCAGGUCUCUGAGGAAUUUUAGGGAGGCCAGUUCUGGGCUUGAUAAAGUGAGUGGGCAAUAAACCUCCAAAUUCUCAAAAUCUCUUAUGCCUGUGAGAGCAGAAGGAAGCAGGUUUCUUCUCUUCAUCCACUUACCUAUAAAAGAUUAUGACAGCAGCUGCAAUUUAGAUAUGAAGGGAAAGGGACAGCGCUUCUCAAGCUCUGGAAGAAAAUUAGAUGAUGAUAU
rnacentral:lncRNA from 1 species